GCUGCAUUCAUUCUUCUUCAUUAGCAACACCUGGGGAGAAGGCAGAAUGAUGAUGCACCACCUCCCAGCUGGGAUAGCGAGACCCGGGUUGCAGUGCUUCUCUGCCUGCUGCCCUCAGCCUGCUUGCAGAGCAGCUCCAGCAGGAUGGCUUAGCUGAAAGGAGCUUUGGAGACAGCUUUUCCCCAUCGUUCUUCCCAGUUGCACCGCCACAAUGUUGUCAUGCCAACUCAGGUAAUGACAGUGAAUACUGAAGUGCUGAUCUGGGGCUCCUGGAGCCACUGUCUCCUGGAAGAAUUGCUGAUGAGCUGAUAACCCAGCCAGAGCUGAAACAUUCAGAUGAGCCUGCAGCCCUCUGACACCCACUGCCCUGAGCAGUACCAUCCUGAGUGCCUCUGCACUGCUCCAAUCCAAAUAAGACCUUUGUAUUCAUUACUUAGAAAUACAGGAGGAACCAGAGAGGCCAUACAUCUCUCCCAGCACAAAACACCCCACUGGUCCAUUGCACCAAAACACCCCACUGGCCGCUCCAUUGCACCAGGAAUCGGUGUGGUUACGCUGCUGCGGCAACCCAGCAUCGCUGCCACAUUGCAGACGAACGUUUUGUUCCGAUUGCACCUAACGGCUGCAUUAACAGCGUCGUGCAAACAAGUUUUCUCCUCCGGGUGGGGGGCUGCAGACGCUGGGGGUCACUGUUCCACCGGAGAUGCCGUGGCAACAGCGGCUUCUGCCCACUGUCACUGCCUGCCACGCAGCGACCCGAGACCUGCCUGGCACACGGUGGCCCUCCUCCUGCCCUGGGCACAGAGCUGCAGCCUUACCCAGCCCUGCUGAGCUCUUCUCCCAGCGACAGGCAGCGUUUUGGUACCAGCAAGUGUGUUCUGCUCCCAAUGGAACGAGCAGUCCCUGCCAGGCACACAGAGUAGCAGGGGCCAGUCUGCAGCUGCUGGGGAAUAGAAGAUCACCAGCAUGGUUUACAUUCUGCACUUAUUUUGCAGAACUGUACCCAGCACAUCCCUUUGAACCCACCUUGGGACAAGCCUUGCCGUUCAGCACAGCGAUGCCCACACGCCUGCUGCAGCCCCAUCCUAAAGCAAACCCACAGCACAUCUUCUGCCAGCGCGUGGUGGCAAGUUGUGCAACCCUCAGCCUAUAAAUAUUUCUAUUUGCCUUUGAAAUGAUUGCUACACAGAGACAUUCUCCCUCUCUGUCAUGUGAUUAACUCUUGUUCAUUUUCUGUCACUUAGCUUGUGAUAAUUCAAUACAUGAUGUUUAUAAAGCCUCACCAAUUUCGUUCCUGGCUCUUAGGAAUUCCCAAUCCGGGGGCAGGUGAGCAGUGACCCCAGGGGCAGAGCUGGUCUGAGCACAGGUGCUGGGCAAGGUAGUGCCUUAACAGAGCAAAAACCAUCACGAUUUACAUCAAGAGGAAUCUUCUUCCCUGAUAUCUUACAGGAGUGGGGGUUUAAGCUGCUUGGGGCAUAUUGCUACAGCUCAGUAGCUCCCCAAAUUAAAAGGGGACAAUUACAGCUGAAACACCUCAGAAGGGGACCGUGGAAUGGGUUGCUGAGGUCAGACUCUUGCCAAGUCUCACAGACUCGUUACAGAAAGGAUCGAGCUUCAUUGGCAAAGCAAUUUGCUGUUGGUUUUCUAUCCCC
rnacentral:lncRNA from 1 species